CGCGGCUACACAUGCAGUCGAGCGGAUGACGGGAGCUUGCUCCUUGAUUCAGCGGCGGACGGGUGAGUAAUGCCUAGGAAUCUGCCUGGUAGUGGGGGACAACGUUUCGAAAGGAACGCUAAUACCGCAUACGUCCUACGGGAGAAAGCAGGGGACCUUCGGGCCUUGCGCUAUCAGAUGAGCCUAGGUCGGAUUAGCUAGUUGGUGGGGUAAUGGCUCACCAAGGCGACGAUCCGUAACUGGUCUGAGAGGAUGAUCAGUCACACUGGAACUGAGACACGGUCCAGACUCCUACGGGAGGCAGCAGUGGGGAAUAUUGGACAAUGGGCGAAAGCCUGAUCCAGCCAUGCCGCGUGUGUGAAGAAGGUCUUCGGAUUGUAAAGCACUUUAAGUUGGGAGGAAGGGCAUUAACCUAAUACGUUAGUGUUUUGACGUUACCGACAGAAUAAGCACCGGCUAACUCUGUGCCAGCAGCCGCGGUAAUACAGAGGGUGCAAGCGUUAAUCGGAAUUACUGGGCGUAAAGCGCGCGUAGGUGGUUUGUUAAGUUGGAUGUGAAAGCCCCGGGCUCAACCUGGGAACUGCAUCCAAAACUGGCAAGCUAGAGUACGGUAGAGGGUGGUGGAAUUUCCUGUGUAGCGGUGAAAUGCGUAGAUAUAGGAAGGAACACCAGUGGCGAAGGCGACCACCUGGACUGAUACUGACACUGAGGUGCGAAAGCGUGGGGAGCAACAGGAUUAGAUACCCUGGUAGCCCACGCCGUAAACGAUGUCAACUAGCCGUUGGAAUCCUUGAGAUUUUAGUGGCGCAGCUAACGCAUUAAGUUGACCGCCUGGGGGAGUACGGCCGCAAGGUUAAAACUCAAUGAAUUGACGGGGGCCCGCACAGCGGUGGAGCAUGUGGUUUAAUUCGAAGCAACCCGAGGACCUUACCAGGCCUUGACAUGCGAAGACUUUCCAGAAUGGAUUGGUGCCUUCGGGAACUCUGACGCAGUGGCUGCAUGUGCUGU
rnacentral:rRNA from 1 species